rnacentral:misc_RNA from 1 species
GGAAGGAUCAUUAAAGCGAAUGAAAAAAGUCCGCGAAUAAAAGAUCUUGAAUAAAGAUUAUUUGGGUUUCUUGUCGUCCGAGAAGCGGCCACGCGCCAUAGCGCAAGUCCGCGUUCGACUCGAAGCUAACAAGGAUUGUCGUGAAAGAUUGUUCUUAGAGUGGAUUUUAUCCCCGUAAUUUUGAAAAUUAAGUUUUUUGAAAGGGAUACAGCCACGUGAUGCUCUAAGAAGAUAUACGAUCUAACAGUCCUUUCGAACGAUAUACAGACAAUCGAGGGUGUCUAUUUCUAGGGCGUAGUUGGUCUGGCUAUUCGAGAAGUCCUAGAAUAAGCUCGUUGGCGGUGUUCCCAUCGAGUAGACUUAAUGAGUUUCCUAGUGGAUGACUUCGGUCUCUGCGUCCAAGGCUCUCUCUAGUUUCUAGGAGAGUCUAGGGAACCGCCCUUAUUAGUUUCUCCGCUCCGAGAAAUGCUGGGACUCGUUGUUCCAUUCGAACGAUAUUAGUUCCCUAGUAGAGGACUUCGGUCUCUGCGCUGGCUCUCUCUAGUUUCUAGGAGAGUCUAGGGAACCGUCUUUUUUAGUUUCUCCGCUUUGAGAAACGUCAGGACUCGUGGGUGUCUAAUCGACGGGGUGUUGACUGUGAGUUCGUCUACAAGAAUUUGACCCCGAUCGAAGAAUCUCGAGCGACUAUUUACUCGAGUAGACUUAAUGAGUAGUCGACGUUUCAGCUACCGCCCGCUUAAAAUGUUUAACUUAAUAAAAUAAAAAAUCGACGGCCGCUUGUUGUCGUAGAUUUGUGAUUCUAGACGGUGGAUCACUAGGCUCGUGGGUCGAUGAAAAACGGGGCAAAACCCGAGAGUUAAUGUGAAUUGCAAACAUAUUGAACAUCGACGAUUUGAACGCAUAUUGCGGCAUAAGGUAUUCCUUGUGCCACGUUCGGUUGAGGGUUGUCUUUAUAGAAUCGAUGAGAUCGACUUAUAUCUUGUCGGAAUUGGUCGGCCGUUUGGUUCGCCAUUCGCCCGACUCAAGUUUUUGAGACGGCUUCGUACUUUUAAAGUCGUCAACGAUAUAGAAAAAAUUCGCAGUCUCCGACUAUUAGCGCGACGAUUAGAAUAUAUCGACGAUUCGAUAGACGUGUUCUAGAUCGGCUAAUCGUAGAAAGUCGAGUGUAUAGACUGACGAAUAAUAGACGCUAAAUAUAACCUCAACUCGAGCGUGAUUACCCGCCGAAUUUAAGCAUAUUAUUAGGCGGAGGAAAAGAAACUAACUAGGAUUUCCUUAGUAGCGGCGAGCGAACAGGAAUUAGCCCAGCGCUGAAUCCCUCGGCGGCUUUGUCGUUGGGAAUUGUAGCGUUAAGGAAAGUCGCUCCUUUGAAUCUAGUUUCGUAAGCUCCCUUGAUUGGGACCCCGUAGAGGGUGGAAGGCCCGUAACGAAAUGUUUUUUGAAGGUAUGAUUUUCCAUAGAGUCGGGUUGCUUGAGAGUGCAGCCCAAAGUGGGUGGUAAACCCCAUCUAAGGCUAAAUAUGACCACGAGACCGAUAGCGAACAAGUACCGCGAGGGAAAGUUGAAAAGAACUUUGAAGAGAGAGUUCAAGAGGGCGUGAAACCGUUUAGAAGUAAACGGGUAAAGCCGCGAGGUAGUCGCAAAAAUCAACCAAUUUACUAGUCCGCCUUGGUUUAAUCGACGUUUAAAGCGAUUUACCGGGCGUUUAUGGGCUAGCGCGUGGUGCACUUUUUGUGACGAAGCAUUGCGACUAAAGCGAAUUUCGGUGAACGAGGGAACGUGAAGACAGAGCCGAGUGUUCUGCGACUAAGUUCCUUGUUCGGGUGUACCGAUAAGACGUUUUAGUGACUCGAGUAGUCGCCGUUUGGCUCGCGAAGCAUCUAGACGUGGGUCGGUCGAAAUGUCCUUUCUAGCUCGCUGGAACGGACGACCCCCGGUUUGAGUCUAGGGUGUAUGCGAGAGACUACGAAGGUUCUGCAAUGUCCGUGGCGGCCGCUUACCCGACCCGUCUUGAAACACGGACCAAGGAGUCUAACAUGUGCGCGAGUUAUUGGGUGGUAAACCCAAAGGCGAAAUUAAAGUAAAGACCGCGUCUGGCGUGUCUAGAUACGAUCCUCGACUCGGUCGGGGCGGAGUAUCGUCACAUCUAUGUGGUGCGUCCACUGGGUGUAGAUAGAGCGUAAAUGUUGGGACCCGAAAGAUGGUGAACUAUGCCUGAGCAGAACGAAGCCAGAGGAAACUCUGGUGGAGGUUCGUAGCGGUUCUGACGUGCAAAUCGAUCGUCAGACUUGGGUAUAGGGGCGAAAGACUAAUCGAACCAUCUAGUAGCUGGUUCCCUC